rnacentral:snoRNA from 1 species
UCUUGAUGAUGAUACGAAGUACGCUGAGCAAAAUGUAGUUGGUCCUUCAUUUGCAACGGCUGAUGUCCAAUGUCCUUUCAAGACGGGGCUGAGAGAAGC